rnacentral:sRNA from 1 species
AGCCCUGGCUGCUGCUGUGCUAGGCCUGCUCUGCGUGCAGCUGGGCCCUGGACCUAAGGGUGAGGAGCUGUUCCACAGCCUGCAGCCUCUGCUGGUCUCUGUGCUCAGUGACAGCACAGCUAGCCCUGCUGCCCGGCUCCACGUGAGUGUGCCUGUGCCCCAUGAAACCCUUCCUGCACCUUAUCCCUCAGCAGAGUGGUGGGUUCCCCCUAUCUUCAGCCUCCCUUACUCUGAGGGGAGUGAGCUCCAGGGCUGGGAACCCAGGUUCACCCGCUGACCGUGGCAUUGCAUUGCCCUCCUCCCAACAGUGUGCUUCUGCCCUUGGCCUGGGCUGCUACGUGGCUGCCGCUGACAUCCAGGACCUGGUCUCUUGCCUUGCCUGCUUAGAAAGUGUUUUCAGCCGGUUCUAUGGCUUGGGCAGCUCCACAAGUCCUGUGGUUCCUGCCAGCCUGCACGGCCUGCUCUGUGCUGCCCUGCAGGCCUGGGCAUUGCUGCUCACCAUCUGCCCCAGCACCCAAAUCAGCCACAUCCUUGACAGGCAGCUGCCCCGGCUGCCCCAGCUCUUGUCCAGUGAAAGUGUGAACCUGCGGAUCGCUGCCGGUGAAACCAUUGCACUGCUCUUUGAGCUUGCCCGGGACCUUGAGGUGCGAGGGACAAGGAUGGGGGGUGCUUGGUGACACCACCUGCCCAU